rnacentral:rRNA from 1 species
GGGUCAGUAGGUUGGUCGUGCCACCGGUACGUACUGGUCUCACUGCUUCCUCCUUCCUGAAGAACCGUAAUGCCAUUAAUUUGGUGUUGCGGGGAAACAGGACUGUUACUUUGAAAAAAUUAGAGCGUUUAAAGCAAGCUAACGCUUGAAUACAUUAGCAUGGAGUAAUGAAAUAGGACGAUCGAUCCUAUUUUGUUGGUUUCUAGGAUUGACGUA